GCGCCCUUGGUGUAUGGUAACACACGUCUUACGUCUUCUUUGUAGGUGAGACGGAAUUCAAGACGAACCCGGGGUUCGAGUCCCCGAGGGUGCA